UGUGACGGAUGGCCGCUGGCGGCUUUCCCAGCCGCUAGAGGAAAGUCCAGACUCGGCUGCCGGCCAUCCCGGCAGAAAGUUGGUGCCUGCCGCAAGGCAGGGCGGCGCAAGCCGACGGAUGCGAAACCGACCCUCGCGGCCGGGAUUAGCUAUAAAAGGGCCAUAGAGACGAGCCGCUCCGGCGACGGAGCGGGUGGAACGUGGUAACCCCCACCACCGAGCAACCCCAAAUAGGCCCCCGUCAAGGGGGCGGGUAGGGGGCAGCCUCCCCAGGGAGGCCGUCCGGCGCCAUGCCGGGCGAGAUAGAUGGCCAUCAGAAACAGAAUCUGGCUUACGGUC
rnacentral:RNase_P_RNA from 1 species